UNUUUCCUUGGGUAACCUCAGGUACUAGC
rnacentral:piRNA from 1 species